rnacentral:sRNA from 1 species
GACUGUCCUCUGAGAGGCUCUACAAGCAACUAACUGAGACAGACGCGGACACUUUCAGGCAACCAGUUAACUGAGAUCUGGUACUCCUAUUGAAGGUUUAGCGGAAGGAUUGAAGGUCUCAGGAAGAUAUGUCAAAGAGAAGGCAGAAUGACUUUAAGGGCCAGAGCACAUAGAAGAUACUAAGAAAAUAUUGUCUUCUGGAGACAACAAAACUGUCACGCUCAGAAAAUCACAGAGACUGUAUUCUUCAUCCAUUGGCGCCUUCAGUCAGUUUCCCUCAGAGAAGAAAGAAUCCCAUUUGGUACCACCUCACCCUGGGACAUUUAGUUCUAGCUCACUGAGGUCCAACAGACAGUCCUGGUAGGGAAGGAGAUCCAAUGACAGACAAAAGAGUGCCAGGCAAGAGCCUAGCAUCUCUGCCUAAGGAGAGGCUCUAACAGCAGCUGACUGAGAAAGAUGCAGAUACUUACAGCCAACCAUUGGACUGA